UAAAACAUGGGAUGGAUAUGAAUUUUAGAUAAAAUAUCCAAAAUAGAUUUAAAUCAAAUACAGAUGAUAGUACAUUCUAUCCCAAACACGAUCCGAUAUAAUCUUACACUGAACUCCCGUUCAAAAUUACAAUUGCUUCAGAAUGUUUAUAUAAUGAGUUUCCUACCAAUCGGAUUCAACCAAUUUUAUUUACUUGACUUGAUCCGACUUGUGCCAUUCACUUUACCCAACUGACUUGACAGGAUAGGGGGCAGAUAUGGAUAUAGGAUUUUCAAUUAUAAUAUAGGUAUGGAUAUUAACCGAUCCAAUCCAUUGCCAUCCCUUUAGGAAAUUCAUUCAAAUGUGCAGUAUUCUAUGAAUCUCAGG
rnacentral:lncRNA from 1 species